AUUGAACGCUGGCGGCAUGCUUUACACAUGCAAGUCGAACGGCAGCGCGGGCUUCGGCCUGGCGGCGAGUGGCGAACGGGUGAGUAAUACAUCGGAACGUGCCCAGUAGUGGGGGAUAGCUCGGCGAAAGCCGGAUUAAUACCGCAUACGACCUGAGGGUGAAAGCGGGGGAUCUUCGGACCUCGCGCUAUUGGAGCGGCCGAUGGCAGAUUAGCUAGUUGGUGGGGUAAAGGCCUACCAAGGCGACGAUCUAUAGCUGGUCUGAGAGGACGACCAGCCACACUGGGACUGAGACACGGCCCAGACUCCUACGGGAGGCAGCAGUGGGGAAUUUUGGACAAAGGGCGAAAGCCUGAUCCAGCAAUGCCGCGUGUGUGAUGAAGGCCUUCGGGUUGUAAAGCACUUUUGGCGGGAACGAAAAGGACUGUGCCAAUACCACGGUUCGAUGACGGUACCCGCAGAAUAAGCACCGGCUAACUACGUG
rnacentral:rRNA from 1 species